rnacentral:rRNA from 1 species
CAGUCGCCGCGGGAAUACGUAGGGUGCAAGCGUUAAUCGGAAUUACUGGGCGUAAAGCGUGCACAGGCGGUUAUAUAAGACAGAUGUGAAAUCCCCGGGCUCAACCUGGGAACUGCAUUUGUGACUGUAUAGCUAGAGUACGGCAGAGGGGGAUGGAAUUCCGCGUGUAGCAGUGAAAUGCGUAGAUAUGCGGAGGAACACCGAUGGCGAAGGCAAUCCCCUGGGCCUGUACUGACGCUCAUGCACGAAAGCGUGGGGAGCAAACAGGAUUAGAUACCCCUGUAGUCCCUGUCUCUUAUAC